UUAUGUUAGAACUGACUUCUACUUGGGUAGUAAGAAGUGAAAAAAAGACUUGAACAGGUUUUACAAGUUGAAAUAUAGUUAUUGGAACAAUUCUGACAUGAUGGGAACACACUUUAUGCUUUCAUGUCGAUUUAGAUUUUUAACAUUUUCUGUUUUUUUUUUUUCAGUUACUAUGACAAUUGAUACCAGGUUCCCAGCUUUGGUCUGAGAGUUCACCCCUGUCCUGAACAUUUCCGUUUCCCUGUUUGAACUAAUGAGCCAAUUAACAGCCCCUUCCUGAGUUGAAGUGGGUCACAUGGGCUGAAAUGGUCACAUGACCAUUCAUGCACACUGGGCAUGCGUAUACAAGUGUAAACAGGAAGUUGGUUGCUAGUCACCGGCAGGCACAACAAACCGGCGUUCCACGUAGGGCUUGCACUGCUCGAAAUGAGAUUUGUUGCCGAUCAUAGCUCGCCUUUUGCACAUGUAGACAGCUGCAGUAUUAUAAAAUACAGAAUUUAACUGCACAAUGGCUGCUAAGAAUGAAAACAAAGCCAGCAAAGCUUAUGGUUCAGUCUCCAUGUUGUUGUGUAUAAGAUCAAGGUAGCAUAAUGGUCAUACUGUAGGGGCUCGAGGAACCAGGCAAGGAUAUGCAAUGAUGCAGAAGACCCAAUCAGGGAGCGAAUGUGGCAAAGCCACGCCUUCAUUUUCAAAAGUCUUCAUUUUGGUCUGUUUACGCUGAAACGUGAGCCCGGAGUUUUCAAACUAAAAUGGGGUCUUCGGUGUUUCCAAAAGCUGGAGUAGACGACAGGCAUUUAGACCGUGCCAGCAGCAACAAUCAUUCAAAUAGAAAACCCCCUGUGGCCUACAUUUCUCCUAAAACCCACCACAGGCCCACUUCUCAGCAUGCACAUCCCACUAACCCACUCAAUGACCACAUCCACAGUGUUCUCCAACUAACACGCACACACACACGCACCAGCAGCCUGAAAUCUACAGAAGAGCAAACACUUCCAGCACUGAGUGACAGAGCUCUGUUUCUGUGCUUGCCUUAAGGCGGUGUUGAAAAUUCUUACAGAGAGGCUGAGGAUCACCUGUCGCUCUGACCACACUGUAUCUUUUCUCUAAGAUCACGUUUCUUGGCAAAGUGAAACACACAGACAGAUACUGGGGGAGAAAGAGUUACAGGAAAGAUAAAUGGGUGCAGUCAAGGCUGUCGUCCCAUCGCUGAGAGUUCCUAUGCAGCUGUUUGACCUUCACAUAAGGAUUUCCUGAAGAAUGCCACGCAGCCUGAAGCACAGAUACGGGAAAGACAUUAGCGCUGAUAUUACUGAGCGAACUCACAGAAAGAGCCAGGCGAUGCACUCUCUCUGCGUGCUAAGAGCUGCAAGUUGUAGAGAGUGAGUUCUUGGGUUCUUGUAGUCAGUUCUGUUUUGUAUUCCUGUCUCAACCUCCAUUCAGGGAAAAGAAAUAUACAUCAAAAUACUUCGAUAGUCACUUGGCUACUUUAUCCCGUACUUUAGCAGAAUGCGAUACGUGUGUUGUUAAUGCUAGGUUAACUUUAAUGCAGAAUCACACUGCUGGUCUCCAAUAAAUCAUUUAGCGUUCAAUCAAUUAUACUGUAUAGUUUUAUUUCGAGUUGAAAAAUUCUUUUAAACAUCCAGUAACAGCAAUCACAUUGUUUUUUUUGUUUUUUUUGCACCAUGCUGGGUAGCAAUAAGUCAGUCAACAAUCUUCUACAUCUCCAUUUCAUCCCUGAUGAGAUGGUCAGGCAUUUGGAAG